rnacentral:piRNA from 1 species
UCACCCAUGCAUCUGAUGAGGCUUCAC